CGAACGGAUUUGUGAGGUGUGAGGUUAGAGGUUAGAGGUGAGAAAUUCUAAGGAAGAAAUCGGCGCAGGCCGAUUUCAACAAGAUUCUCACAUCCAACUUCUCACCUCGCACUUCGCAAAUUAGUGGCGGACGGGUGAGUAACGCGUGGGCAACCUGCCUUCCACUGGGGGAUAACACAGGGAAACCUGUGCUAAUACCGCAUGACAUCACAUAGGGCAUCCUGUGUGAUCAAAGGAGUGAUCCGGUGGAAGAUGGGCCCGCGUCCGAUUAGCUAGUUGGUGAGGUAACGGCUCACCAAGGCGACGAUCGGUAGCCGGACUGAGAGGUUGGCCGGCCACAUUGGGACUGAGACACGGCCCAGACUCCUACGGGAGGCAGCAGUGGGGAAUAUUGCGCAAUGGGGGGAACCCUGACGCAGCGACGCCGCGUGAAGGAAGAAGGCCUUCGGGUUGUAAACUUCUUUGAUGAGGGACGAAGGAAGUGACGGUACCUCAAAAACAAGCCACGGCUAACUACGUG
rnacentral:rRNA from 1 species